GCUUUGGUGGCCUAGUGGUUAGAGCAUCCACCUCAGAUGCCAGAGGUUGUGGGUUCAAUCCCUGGCUGAGACA